CAUUCUAGAUACAUUGGAGAAUCUUUCACAACUAUCCUUACUUGAUGGAAAUGAUUUAUCUGGUUCUAUACCAGAAACAUUAGGACUAGUUCAGACACUUGAGAUUCUCCGGCUUGAUAGAAAUUCCCUGACAGGAGAGGUUCCUACAAAUCUUUGUAAGAGAUGAGUUUGGAUAAUGAAGUUGGAGUGUUGGAGCAAGAAACAAAGAUGUUGGAGCAAG